rnacentral:RNase_P_RNA from 1 species
CGAGUCGGUCGGACGGUCGCGUGAGGUGGUCCGCCACCUCCCGAGGAAGGUCCGGACUCCGAAGAGCAGGGUGGUGGGCAACGCCCACCCACGGUGACGUGCGGGACAGUGCCACAGAGAACAGACCGCCAGCGGCCCUGGCGCCCACGGGCGGCAGGGUGCGGGCAAGGCUGAAACGGUGGUGUAAGAGACCACCAGCGCCCCGGGUGACCGGGACGGCUAGGUAAACCCCACCCGGAGCAAGACCAAGAGGCCCCCGUCACGGCGGGGGCUGCGCCGGUGCCCGAGGACUGCUCGUCCGAGCCGGCGGGUAGGUCGCCAGAGCCCACCGGCAACGGUGGGCCUAGACAGAUGGCCGUCCGGGGCUCGCGCCCCGACAGAAUCCGGCCUACAGACCGGCUCGUCCG